CGGGAUGUCAGAUAGACCUGAGUGUGAACCCCAGCUCUGCCACUUAAGUCUCUCUGGACCUCAGUUUCCCAUCAGUCAAAUGAUGCUUCUAGACUUUUCCAGUUUUACCAGGCCAGCGCUUGAGGAGAGCGGCUGUCAAACCAGGAGGGAGCUCCUGGCCGUGUCCCCCUCCCCUCCAUGGUGUCUGCAACCACAGGGCCGCAAGCCACACAUCAUGGCUCUCUCUCCAACCCAGCUUAUCCCCAGAGCCCCUCGAGACGUCACCUGGCUCCCACAUACCACUCAGAAAUAAAAAAUAAGUCUUUGGUCAUGGAAGAGUGAAGGCUGGUUGAGACUCCACUACAUAAAAUGCUGCUGUCCCUAAUCCUCUGCGGCUGGUACCCCAAGCACCUCGACACCGGUGAUAGGAGAAGGAAGUCAAACCCACAUACAGUCUCACAGGGGGUUUUGCUCUACGGGCAGAGUCUGGAGCCAGACAGCUUGGUUUUAAAUUCUGGCUCUGUGGCCUUCUAGCCAUGUGACCUGGGGCCUGACCUGAAGAGCAGCAUGGCCCUGGGGCCCUUGUCGGAGAAACUAUUCCCAAGUCUGAUGUAAACACAGACGUACGUGCAAGCCACAAGAGCAUGCUUCAGUGACUAGAUAAGGCAAUGUCUCAGUCCAUUUGGUCCGCUGUUACAGAAUACCAUAGACUGGGUGCUGAUAAACAACAGAAAUUGUUCUGGAGGCUGGAAAGUCCAAGAUGAAGCCUCCAGCACCUUCAGUGUCUGGAGUUGAGUUAUCCUUUAAUUACCUGGACUUGCUGGUUGGAGUUGUUGUGUUCACUGAAGCCCUGCUCAUGUUGGCUGUUGACCUCAAUGUGGCUCUUGACUAGAACCUACAUUAAGAAGGAAAAUUCUGUGGGUCAGAAUGUGUCACCGCAGGAGUGCCGGCCUAUAGCACCUGCUUUUGACCUGAUAGACCUCUGCAGACACCUUCCCUUCAACCUCUACCAGCCUAAGCCCCAUGCAAAGGUUCCAGAUGGUGCUCAAGGCAAGAAUGUUUCUCAAAACAGGGGACUGCAGGUGUGGGUAGAGCAAUCAGAGAGGCUUUGGGCAUAGCUACUGCCUCUAGAAAGGAGGGCAGGAGUGGAGUCAUCCUUUGGAGGAAAAAACCUCACUGUCAGGUCACACCUCAUGAAUUUAGGAAGAACUACCUUGAUUCUGAUCUUGCCUGUCACUUCUGUUCUUUAUGAUUCCAACGGUGUUGUGGUUCCUGACUCUCCCUGGGGAGGAGGCCCCUGUGUGCUUUUGGGGGGCGGGGGAGAGGAGGUCUGCAUCAAGACUCAGCUUAUAAUCCCAGCAAAGGGCCGAGGUAGACUUCUGGUGACCCAGACACUUGAGGUGAUGAGUGUGGUCCACAGGAGGUGUCCACGGGAGCAGCAUGCACAUGGUACCAACUUACGAAGUUGAAUGAGUUUAUCAAUGGACAGGCUAGGGAACUGUUAAACUCCCCUAAAAGAAGAGGGUGAGAACUCUUGAUUCUUUUUCCUUCAUACUUGGUUGUUUUUUUAUUAGAUUAUGAAUUUUUUUUUUAUGGAGAGAGUCUUCUGUUCUUAUUCCA